UACCGGAGGCUGCUACUGUCUCUUAACGACCGAGCCUACGGAAUGCCGAGCCGGCUGCAGGACGCAGCCGGAAGCCGGAAUCGACGCAUGGAUGCGGCGUUGGAGGCGGUCGGCAUUCCGUUGGCGACCGAGUUUAGAGACAGUUGCAGCCGGAGGUU
rfam:Peptococcaceae bacterium BRH_c4a BRHa_1002702, whole genome shotgun sequence.